rnacentral:rRNA from 1 species
GUGGCCUAACCCCUUGUGGGAGGGAGCUGUCGAAGGUGGGACUGGCGAUUGGGACUAAGUCGUAACAAGGUAGCCGUACCGGAAGGUGCGGCUGGAUCACCUCCUUUCUAAGGAG